AUUGAACGCUGGCGGCAUGCCUUACACAUGCAAGUCGAACGGUAACGGGCCUUCGGGUGCCGACGAGUGGCGAACGGGUGAGUAAUACAUCGGAACGUGCCCGAUCGUGGGGGAUAACGAGGCGAAAGCUUUGCUAAUACCGCAUACGAUCUACGGAUGACAUCAGGGGACCGCAAGGCCUUGCGCGGACGGAGCGGCCGAUGGCGGCUUAGGUAGUUGGUGGGAUAAAAGCUUACCAAGCCGACGAUCUGUAGCUGGUCUGAGAGGAUGAUCAGCCACACUGGGACUGAGACACGGCCCAGACUCCUACGGGAGGGAGCAGUGGGGAAUUUUGGACAAUGGGCGCAAGCCUGAUCCAACCAUGCCGCGUGCAGGAUGAAGGCCUUCGGGUUGUAAACUGCUUUUGUACGGAACGAAAAGCCUUCGUUUAAUACAGGAGGGUCAUGACGGUACCGUAAGAAUAAGCACCGGCUAACUACGUG
rnacentral:rRNA from 1 species